rnacentral:rRNA from 1 species
GAUGAACGCUAGCUACAGGCUUAACACAUGCAAGUCGAGGGGAAACGAUAUUGGAAGCUUGCUUCCGAUAGGCGUCGACCGGCGCACGGGUGAGUAACGCGUAUCCAACCUGCCCACCACUUGGGGAUAACCUUGCGAAAGUAAGACUAAUACCCAAUGACGUCCAUAGAAGACAUCUGAAAUGGAUUAAAGAUUUAUCGGUGAUGGAUGGGGAUGCGUCUGAUUAGCUUGUUGGCGGGGUAACGGCCCACCAAGGCGACGAUCAGUAGGGGUUCUGAGAGGAAGGGCCCCCACAUUUGAACUGAGACACGGUUCAAACUCCUACGGGAGGCAGCAGUGAGUAAUAUUGUUCAAUGGGCGAGAGCCUGAACCAGCCAAGUAGCGUGCAGGAUGACGGCCCUAUGGGUUGUAAACUGCUUUUAUAAGGGAAUAAAGUGAGCCUCGUGAGGCUUUUUGCAUGUACCUUAUGAAUAAGGACCGGCUAAUUCCGUGCCAGCCGCCGCAGUAA